AGGAAGGUUAAACAUAAACCUAAAAUAACAAAUGCAACAUUAUAAUGUGUGGAACAGUCUGGAUCCACUGGUCAGUGUUACACAUGCAAUAUUAUAAUUUGUGGACA